rnacentral:rRNA from 1 species
AUUGAACGCUGGCGGCAGGCCUAACACAUGCAAGUCGAGCGGAUGAAGGGAGCUUGCUCCUGGAUUCAGCGGCGGACGGGUGAGUAAUGCCUAGGAAUCUGCCUGGUAGUGGGGGAUAACGUCCGGAAACGGGCGCUAAUACCGUAUACGUCCUGAGGGAGAAAGUGGGGGAUCUUCGGACCUCACGCUAUCAGAUGAGCCUAGGUCGGAUUAGCUAGUUGGUGGGGUAAAGGCCUACCAAGGCGACGAUCCGUAACUGGUCUGAGAGGAUGAUCAGUCACACUGGAACUGAGACACGGUCCAGACUCCUACGGGAGGCAGCAGUGGGGAAUAUUGGACAAUGGGCGAAAGCCUGAUCCAGCCAUGCCGCGUGUGUGAAGAAGGUCUUCGGAUUGUAAAGCACUUUAAGUUGGGAGGAAGGGCAGUAAGUUAAUACCUUGCUGUUUUGAUGUUACCAACAGAAUAAGCACCGGCUAACUUCGUG